ensembl:lincRNA
AUGCUGAGAAGGGGAGGAGCCAUCCCAGGGGAUGGACCCUACGUGGGCUGCCAGAUCCAUCCGCGCUGCCGCUUUGGGAAGGGCCCCGGCCUUCGGAGUAAAGCAAAAGUAGCCCUGUGGCGAAGGACCCCACUGGCCGCAGACGGUGUUUUGUGCAUCUGUUCUUCAGUGAUUGCAAUCAAAAUUAACAUAGUUAUGGCGACUUUCCAGACUUUCAGAAACAGUCGUGUGAAGCCAAGAGCAUCUGUCAGAAAAAGCUUCAGUGAAGAUGUGUUCCAGUCUGUAAAGUCUUUAUUACAGAGUGAGAAGGAACUGUGCAGUAUAUCAGUCGAGGACUGUUUAAAGCAGGACGAACAUGCAAAAUUAACUGAGGUCACAUUUCUGGGUUUUAAUGAAGAAACAGAUGCUGCUCAUAUACAGGAUUUAGCGGCAGUGUCUUUGGAACUUCCAGAUCUUCUGAAUUCACUCCACUUCUGCAGUCUAAAUGAAAAUGAAAUUAUUUGUAUGAAAGAUAUAAACAAAUCAUCAAAUAUCAACAGUGGUCCUCGAAAUCAGAGUCAUCAUUCCGGAAUGCUUUGUGUCAUGAGAGUGUCACCUACAUUACCAAGACCCAGAAUUGAUUUUAUCUUUAGUCUCCUAAGUAAAUAUGCUACUGGUAUAAGAUAUACCCUGGAUACAUACUUGCAUCAGAAUCACCAGCUUGAGACUACUCAUGAAGAUGAUGAUGAUACUAACCAGUCUGUGUCUUCUAUAGAGGAUGACUUUGUCACUGCUUUUGAGCAGUUGGAAGAAGAGGAGGCUUCAAAGCCAUAUGAUGGAAUAAACACUACACUACGGAGCCAGUGUGAUGUGGCUUCUCAGACUAUUUGUGGUCACCAUUUGGAAAUCCAUGAUUUAAAGAAGAUUUUAGUCAGCUCUGGACAGCAGAAGACAUUGGCUAAGCCCUCAUCUCCCCUAAUAAAUGUUCUUGGACAUAAUGAACCACAUUCUGUGAAAACUUCAGUCACAACUUCAAUUUCAGAGCCUUGGAUCCAGAGGAGUUUCUAUAGGUCAUCUAAUGCUUCAGACAAAGAUGGUGAUGCACAGAAAACCUUUUGUUCUUCUUCUCCUGCCUACUCUUCGGAAUCAGAAUGCUCAAGUCCAAGUCCUGUUAUUUUCUUGGAUGAAGAAGGGUAUCAGAAAAGUUUAAAAGCAAAACUUGAGCUGCCUAAAAUUCCUGUGAUGAAAGAUGAUGUAGAAGAUUCAGACUCAGAAGUAAGUGAAUUUUUUGAUAGUUUUGAUCAGUUUGAUGAACUAGAACAAACUUCAGAGACUUCUUGCCUGUUUAUAAAUGAUCCUGUUCAAGAGAAGUCCUCACGAAAGAAGGGGCACAAACAUGAAAAAUCUUGUAUGAAUCCUCAAAAAUUCAAGUCUGAUUGCCCAGUUCUUCCAGCUAAUGUUAAAAAGCCAACUCCUCGAAAGCCAGAAUCUCCGUAUAGCAACCUGUGUGAUGCUCCAGAUUCUCCUCGUCCAGUAAAGGCAUCAGGGGAUGACAGUGGUUUGUUUAGCCCUAUUCGAUCCUCUGCUUUUAGUCCUCUUGGAAGCUGUACUCCUGCUGAAUGCUUUUGCCAAACGGAUAUUGGUGGAAACCAGACUCAUGAUUCUGUUUAUUAUACCUAUGAAGAUUAUGCAAAUAGCAUUUCAUGUGAAGUGCUAGAGUCAGUUCUUCAUAACCAACAUACUAAUGAAAUGUCAAACAUUAAUAGUAUUAAAAGAGGAGAAAAUAAAACCGAGGAUUUUAAGCAUGGAAACCUUGAUCAAAAAAGUAAAAGUAAAUCUUUAAUGAUUAAAGAUAGCAUUCAGAAAUUUGCCACAGAUCUCGUGGAAAAAGGUUUUGGCAGUGCAUUUAAAGACUUACAGAAAGGAGUCUCUUCAUGCACCAAUGCAUUGUGCCACUUAGCCGUCAAAUUGACAUCAUCUGUCUUUCAGAUGGCGUUUAAUGAACUGAGAAGGCAGCGUGCAUUUUCACUAAAACAACGUGCCAUUAGUGGCCUGGCUAAUUUUUUGGUGAGUGAAGCCUUAUCACAUGCCUUAAAAGAUUUACAGUAUAUAAAAAAGCAGAUAUUUACAAACACAGUUGCUAGGUUUGCUGCAGAUCUUGCUGAAGAGCUUGUUUUUGAAGGCAUCAUGGAAGUGUGCCAGUUUUCAUAUCCUUCAACACCUCUAUUGCCACAGUGUCAGUCAUUUGAUUUUGAAGAUAAAGUAGUGAAGUCAUAUGCAAAAGAUUUGUCUGAGUCUGUAAUACAGGAAGCAUUCAUUGAGCUAUCACAAGUUGAUGUGCCUUUCACGACAAAGGCAGCAGUUAGUGUUUCUACAGAUAAUAUCAAGUAUGUGAAUGCAGAAAGUGUAGCGCCACCUGUACAGACUUUCACAUUUUCUCCCUCUUUUAACAAUCAAGCAAUUAUGGUGACAAAACCAAUGCAGGAAUAUAAAAAGGAAUACACUGUGCAACAGGCCUUGUUUUGUACUUCAGGAAUUGUCACUUCUAUUCCAGUACCGUUGGCAGGAAGUGCCCUUCUCCCAUAUCAUAUUUUCUCUACCAUAUGUCAGACAAAUUCUCAUCUGUCACUUGAUGACAGUAAUCCAAAUGGUGAGUCUACCCAAGCACAUGUUACCACAAAAAAUGAAGAGGAAGUAGCUUGUCUCAGAAACAUUUGUUUACCUUCAGAACACAGUCUGGAUAGCCAGAAUGAUUGUAAACCAACCAGUAAUGAUAUUGAAAUUCAAAGUUCUUCAAAAUUAGCUAGUGGAAUUAGUAACUUUUCUGCAGCAAUGGUGCAUACUAUAGUAAAUGAAACUUUAGAGUCAGUGACACCAUUCAGAGUUACAAAAACAGCUGAUGAACAAACUGAUUAUUUAACUAAAACAGUGAAGGAACAUAUCUCUCCUUCCUGUCAAGUAGAACCACAACAGGGGGAAGCUAGCAAUAAGGACAUUUUUGCUGAACUGUUAUCUAAAUCUGUUAUUAAAGAUUCCAUAGAUGCAAGCAAAUUAAUGAUCUCAACUUCAGAUACAAAUAUAGUACCUAAGGAAGGCUUACCUGUUGCUGGAGAGGAAUCAAAGUUGACUUCGGAAAAGUUCGCCAAAUUUCUUGAUGCUCAAGAUCACUUACCUUGCUGUUCACGUUCUAUGAGAAAGGAUUAUGUUCCAGAAUGUAAAGAUUCGAUGGUUUAUAGAAUUUCCUUAGAGACACUACCACUUUGUCCAGUGGUGGCAAGUCAGAAACCUGAUCUGAAUGAAGUUGCUAAGGAUAAACCAUUGAAAAAGCAUAAUUUGAAUGAUACAGCACUUGAGCCCUUAUCUUUUGGACAGGAGAGCCCUUUCAGUCACUCACGUACUUUCUCCUCGACAGUGCUUGCCUGUGUAGAUAGUUUGCAUGUGGAAGAUAAACAGAAAAUCAGAGACAGAAAUGUAAUACCUGACACUCCUCCGUCAACUCCUUUAGUUCCAUCCCAAGCUAGUUCUGAAUGGGAUAUCAAGAAGUUAACCAAAAAGCUCAAAGGGGAAUUAGCUAAAGAAUUUGCACCUGCUACACCGCCGUCUACGCCGCACAACGCAUCCGUUGGUAAUUUGUCUGAAAAUGAACAGAAUACUAUAGAAAAGGAAGAGUUCAUGUUGAAACUCAUGCGCUCUCUUUCAGAAGAAGUUGAAGGUAGUGAAGGUGAAGAGCAUCCAGAAAUGGAUGUGAAGCCAGAGCACUCAGGGAAGAAAGUGCAGUUUGCAGAAGUGUUAGCUACACAUAUAAUUUCUUUUGCAACUGAAAUGGCAGCCUCCCAUUUAGAUCAUAAAAUGGUACAAGAAUCUGAGGUUCGAAAACCUUGCUUCAAUGUGCAAAGUCAAGGAAGAAUAUUGCCCACUUUUUCAAGUCAAUCUGUUGAAAAUUUUCAGACAGGUAGUUUUGCAGCUGAUAUGGCAGCAGAAAUCAUUGCAGAAGCUGAGAAAGUAGCAGAAACUAGAAGUUCUGUACUUAGUAAGCAAAAGAAGAAUCUUUGUUUUGUUGAUGGGGACCAAGAUUAUAGAUCAGAAGAGAAGUUGGAUAGGGAGAUUGUAAUGUAUCCAAGAGAAGUGGAUCCAUUUACUCUUUCAGUACUACCAAGUUCUUGUAUGUCAGGUUUGACAUACAAGUAUCCCAGCUGUGAAAGUGUGACAGAUGAAUAUGCAGGCCAUGUUAUCCAAAUAUUAAAACAGGAAGGUGGUAAUAGUGAGUUAAUAAUGGACCAGUAUGCCAGUAGACUUGCUUAUCGGUCUGUUAAGUCAGGUUUACAAGAAGCAGCUAAGGCAGCCAAAAUGCAGAGCAACUCGAAAAUGUUCCCUGUGCAAAGUGCACAAAUGAAAAUAAAUAAUGAACUGUUAAUGUUCUCAAACAAAGACCACCACCAAGAAGAAGGGGAAAAAAGUGAAAGAAAAAGAAGUGGAGGUCACCUUUGUCCAAGUCAAACUUGCGAAAGGGCAAAAGAUGAAUGGAGAAAUGAGGACUCUCACCUAUAUAGUUUUUCAGCCUCCCUUGCUCACUGCAUAACAAGAGAUGUUAAAAAGGAGCUGACAGCACCUAAAGUUGACUUGCCAAAAUCCUUAACAGAGUCCUGCCCUUUUGAAAAAUCUGGAUAUGUUGAAGAUACUGAGUGUCACACAGAACCAGAAUUUUUUAAGCCUCUUGAGCCUUUCUCACAAAAUCAAGGAUUUCACCACAGUACAGGCAGCUUAAAUAGACAUGGCGGUGGAGAGAAUAUUGUUCAAACUAUAGAACAGUAUGCUAAAAAAGUAGUGGAUGACACUUUAGAGUUAGGUCUAGGAUCCAAAGUUUUCCAAGCAUCUGAGACCACAAAAUCAGUAGAUAGAAUCACUUAUGCAGAAAAGUUGUCACCGCUUAUAAAUCAGAAUUGCAGAUAUUGUGACCUUAAGGAGCUCCAUGAUUGUACUGGAAAUUCAUCUCAGCACUUUUUCAAACAGGAUUCACGUGUUAGUAGUAAACUCAUUACGAAUUCAAACUUUAGCAACAUCUAUCAGAAAUCUAGAAUUUUUCAUCUCGAUGUCCCUCAAAUUCAUGUAAAUCUUGAUAAAAAGUCAUUACUUGCUGAGAAGAUAGUAGCUGAAGCCAUUGAAAGAGCAGAGAGAGAGCUGAGCAAUACCAGUUUGGCAGCUGAUAGUGGAAUUGGACAAGAUGGCAUUAGUUUUGCUGAAAGCCUUACCACAGAAAUAAUGACAUCAGCCAUGACCAGUGUUGGACAUGCUGUGAGCAGUUCAAAGGAAGGAGAAGAUGCUCAGUCAACUGAGUCACUUGGUAGCCAGCAGCUGAAUCUCAGUAUUGGUGAGGACAGCACUGGUAGCUGGUCCAAUUUAAGUUUUGAGGAUGAACACCAAGAUGAAAGCAGCAGUUUUCAUCACCUAAGUGAAAGAAGUGAUGAAUCGGAUGAUAAAGAUGAAGAGCAUGAGGAUGAUAUAGGAGGUUUGGAGCAAGAUGAAAAGACUUUGCUGAUUACGAAUAUUGACAUGGAGCCAUGCAUUAUAGAUCCCCAGUUAAGGAUUAUUCUUCAGUGGCUCAUUGCUUCUGAAGCUGAAGUUGCAGAACUUCAUUUUCAUGAUUCUGCAAAGAAAGAAUUUAUACUACUUUCAAAACGGUUACAAGAAAAAGGAUGGAAAGUGGGAGACCUCCUGCAGACUGUGCUUAAAUACUAUGAAGUGGUGGAAAGAACUUCCAGUGAGGAGAGGUGCAAGUCGCUGUUUGACUGGCUUUUGGAAAAUGCAUAGUAUAAACCUCAAAUUAGUGUAUUUUAUUAUUUGUUUUGAAAGGGGAAGAAACAGACAAGUAUGUUUAGGGUAAAUUUGAAUAGUAAAUAGGAACAUUUUAGGUGAUUUGGGAGAAAAGUACAGAUUUUUAAGUGCUUUCUGUCAUCACAAAGUGUAUAUAGUUCAUACUUUUGUAAUCCCUGUUAAAAUAUUAUCUUUACCUUUCUUCUGUGCACAUAUGUAGUGUGUAUAACAUGUAUAUGAAGGAAGGAAGAAAGGUCUUUCCAUAAGGUUUCUGGGGACACUGUCUGACAGCAUUGUUUUUGCAUCCGAACAGUGCUGCUUGAAACUGCAGAGAUAGCUAGGGAGAUGGUCCAGUGAUAAGUGACUUACACUUGAUCCUUUACAAAUGGGUAUCUAAGGACACAUCAGUAACCAAAACGUAAAAUUAAAGCUGGUUUGUUUGUGGUAAGUUUUUAGACUUUUUGUCCUGUUUUUAAAAAUCAGUUUUAUGUCAAUAGCUUAGCUAUUGGCAGCUUUGUGGUUCUCUCCAAACUGUAAUUUUUUAGCAGGAAUAUUGUUGUUUUAGGUUUCUGUAAAUACCAUAAGGGAUAGUUUCCCAGGCCUUCCAUCAAAUGACAUUAUUUGCUAAUGCUACCAAUCCUUAGGGCAUGAAAGUGGGGUGGGGUGUGUGUGUGUGUGAGAGAGAGAGAGUAACAGUGUGUGUGUAAAGGGGAAUUUUAACCUUGCCCAGUGGUUUGUUUCCUCUUUUAUUUUACUCUCUUAGUUAAAAAGCGUUAUUAACAUUAAAAAGGUGCUUUAAAAUAAAAUGUCUAUAAAGAUUGUGCAGUAAGAAUUUUGGACUUACAAAUGAAAAUUCAAAUUGAAAAACAGUAAAAUUUUAAAAAUAAUGUUAAUAUGGAAAUGCAUUCAGAGGAGCCUAAUGUGUUUCAUUGUUGGAUUUUUGAAAAAAAAAAGAGAACUCUACUUACCAAGAAUAAGUUUUCUGUAGAAAAAUUGUGAAUCUCCGCCCCAAAUAAAAUGUAUCUGCAGUAAUUUGUAAAGUUCUCUGCAUGAUCUUUCUGGGCUCUACAUUUCCUACUGUAUCUUCAGAAACUGCAGGGUGACAUGAACAGAAGGACCAAGAUUGUGUCUUGGUUUUACAUGUGUAGGUAUGUAUGUGCAGCUUUUUAAUUUUUCCAGUAGUGGAUUUUAUAAUCUAGGAUAAACCACCUUUUGUGUAGGCUUUGAUUUUUUUACUCUUACCACAUUUUUUUUCCUCCAGACAUUACUCUACAAGCUACACAAAAUGUAGAAGACAUAGUACCUAUCAGGGAAUAGGGAAUCAGGGCAGUUACAGCAAUUUGAGUUAACAGUUAUAGUAAAGAAGUAUGUUUUAUAGUGAAAGAUUCAGAUUUGCUUUUUAAGAAAAAUGUCAAAAUACUUAAAUAUUUUGAGUUUACACUGUAGACUUCGUUUUUUUCUCAGUUUAAGGUACAGGUAUAGGAUGAUCCCUAAUGAUAAAUUUUCCUGAAGUUUCUUCAAGUAUUUUUUGAGGUAAAGAAAGGAAGGAAAUAUAUAACUGGGAUUGUUUCUGCCCUUAGUUUUUAAAAAUUUCAGAUGAGGCCACACUGGACUGGAGUUUAAAUGUUAGGACCAGGAAUGUUUACUCUUAGUUGUAAGGUAGAUUCAUUGAUGAAGUUCAGAUUGCAUUUUUACAAGUAACUACCAAAUUGUAUUUAGUAGUUUGGGUGUAAAUAUGGCUCUUAGUAACAACAAAGCUGGGUUCUGAAUUUCUUUUAAAGUGAUAGUGUAUUUUUUAAAAGUUUCUGUGUUUGAAAUGCUUCUGUUAAUUUAUGUUAAUGAUAUAAUCAUUUUGAGCUAAAGUUUUUGACAUACUCGUAUUUCCUUUGCAUUUUGCUGAGUUCAGAGUUCCAUCAUCUAACAACUGCCUACUGACAAACCCGUCAUUAGGUGUUGGAAUGUGUGAUAAUAAUAAUAGUGGAACUCCACAUUUGCAUCAAUUCAGUGCGGGGGCAUUGAGAAAAGUAUUAAAUAUUGGUAUAUGUGAAAAGAUGUUGAGUUAAGCUUCCUUGUAUAGAGAGAAUGUUUGAAUAGUAUCUUUUAAUCAUGUACAGUCUAUAUUAACUUUCUUUAAAGACUGAUUUUUCCAAAGAUGUUAUACAUUUGUUUGGUUGCUCAGUCUUGAAAACAGCCUUGUUAAAAAAAAAUAAAACAGCCCUCUUGAGGACAGCUCUGUCUUAUUUAAUUACAAAUCUGCUUGACGUAUUUAUAACAUCGUAAUAUUGCUAUUCUGUACAUUUUGGACCUAAUGAAAUAUGUCUUAUUCAAAAUUGUGAAAAUUUUGAUGUGCAAUGAACUGAAUUCUUUGUUUACCUGUUUUAAAAUCAUCAUGUGAUUUGUAGAAAGAAAGUGAAUGAAACCUCCAGUAAGAGGUUUUCAGAACAUUAGUUCAGUCUAAAAUAGGGCAGUUCUUUCAUGCUCUUUUCCUAAGCCAAGGUUAAAUUACAUUUGUAUUUUGGGUAUUAUUAAUUUUGGGUAUUAUUAAUAUUGAUUUUGAAAAUAUUACUGAUUUAUUAAAAGUAGUGAUUCAUUUAUAAAUCACAGAAGGAAGUGACUCUCUAUUGGAUGAAUGAAUUAAUAUAACUUAGUGGCAGUAUAACACCUUUGAGAGUAACUCGGUGAACAUAGGUGGUACCUUUGUACUUUAAAAAAUGUUGCGCUUACCCUUUCAAUAUUGGUUGUGAAUUAAUUCAGUUCAUAAUAAUUUAAUUCUACUUAAAAGUUUUAUGUUGCUGGUAGGAGAAUUUAGUUACUUAAGUACACUGUGUAUAAAAUGAAGAUAAUUUACCUAUAUAACAUAGGUAAGCUUGACAUUACUGCAUGUUCUCCAAAUGCAAAGUGUAAUUUUUGUUCAUAAGAGUCCAGUCGGAUGGCUAUUUAAUUUCUUGGCUAAUAUUAUUCCACAGUUAAUAUCAUUAAUUUCCCACCAGUAUAUCACUUUAUAUUUUAUGCUUUUCAAAGAAAACUUUACGCAGAAUUUUAAAAAUGAUGCAUCCAUACUCAGGGGUUAGGGAGGAUACUUUCCAUUUAAAGCCCUGUCCACCUGUUACCUGCACAAGAGAAUUAGAGCAUCAGUGGGAAUUAGAAAAGUUGUACUAUGAAGUGAGUUGCAUUUUUUUCUCAUUUUCAGAAAAAACCCUGCAAAACAUUUAAUCAUUUACUGUAUUCUUGCUCCAAAGAUGCAGAUACAGUGUUAGUCACUCUUGUCACUUUAAUUUAUUUAUUUUUUUAAUCACCCAUGUACAUUCCUUUCAUUUACAGUUACAGUUCUAGAAGUUCUCAUUUGUUAUUGUAAUGUUUGAAUACUGUUUUAAUGCCAGGUUUUAAUAUUGCUGGAUUUGCUACCUUUCAUUACUUGUGCAGUGUUAAAAGUAAUACACAUUCUUGUUUAAUUAUCAGAUAUAUAACAAAAGAAGCUUUGAAUAAUUACAACUUUAUUUGGCUGUGCUGAGUUAUUAUGUAAAGAUCUUAUACUGUGUAGCAGUAACUUUUUUUGCUGUUCAGUAAUUAACUGUUUGCUUACCAAAAUAUUAACUUCAGGAUGCACUAAACUUUUGUUUUAGUAGUGGUGUUUAAAAAGUUUCAAAAAUUACUUUUGUAAUAGUUUGCAAUUAAUUGUUCCUUUUCAGUUGUUUAAGCCUGUGAUCUUUCCCAACUAAGAAUUCUACAAUAAAUUUAAGAAAUCCCUACCUUUGGUUUUCAUUCUGUAAUACUUCAUUAAUUACUCUGUGCUGAAUUAAAAAGCACGCAAGACGGUGGUAACAGCAGACAGAAGAUCUAAGUGCUCACAUACAACACUUCUGUAAUAGGAGACAUAACAGGACCAGAUGCUCACAUCUUGUGUCUUAGUUACUCUUCUCUCACUGCCGAGACGAAAUACCAGAUGCCCAAACUUAAGGAAGGAAAGGUUUAUUUAGCUCACAGUUUGUGGAGGUUUCAGUGCAUAAUCCGCUGGCUCCAGGGCAGAGUGGCACAUGGC